UAUGGCCAUAUCCCAUUAAAACACUGGUUCUUGUCCAAUCACUGAAGUUAAGCUAUGUUGAGACUGGUCAGUAGUGAGAUGGGUGACCACUGAGGAAUACCAGGUGUUGUAAG